ACAGGAACUCAACUCAAGGACAUUAGAAUUCUUACUAAGAAAUACAAGAAUAUAGUUCUCACAGAAGAACAAAGAUUGUUAAGGAAAAUUUUUCCAUUUUACAUAAUAAAAGACAGACAACAACAAAGAAGGGGGCCUUUUUUUUUUUUUUUAAU